AGGACUGAGUGCAAGAAGUAAGUGCGAGGAAACAAUUGCACGACACAGCAUACUACAGGCCCACACAAAAAGAACUAUAAAAGUGGUAGUUUCUUCUUGCCGUAGGAGAGAGCACCCUUUGUUUGCAAAUUGUAAGAGACACGCCAUUGGAUGCUGCUCUGAGUCUAUAUAACAAGGGUCUAUAUAACAAGGUACUAAAGCUAUAUAUAAUGGUUCUAAGAUGAAUCAUGAGUUGUGUGUAAGCCUACUAAUGAAGCAUAGAUACCACCCUUGUUAAUCAGAGUGUCAUGCUUUCCUUGCUCUGCAAUGAUUCCAUGUUCAACCACUGCAAUUGAAUCUGCAUCCUUUAUGGUGGAUAACCUGUGAGCCACCACAAUUGUGGUUUUGUCCACCCUCACUCGGUCAAGUGCAUCCUGAACGACUCUUUCAGACUCAGCAUCUAGUGCACUAGUGGCUUCAUCCAGCAGUAAUAUUUUUGGACUCUUCACUAUGGCUCUUGCAAUUGCCACCCGCUGCUUCUGCCCUCCCGAUAGUUGAAUCCCUCUCUCCCCUACUACUGUAUCGUAACCCUGCACGUGUUGUUUUUGAAUAAUUCAGAAUUUUGUUCGUAAGGUGUUUAGAAUUCGAUAUCUAGUUAUUUAAAAAUUUGCCACAUAAUUCUUUGUAGCACGAGUCUCAGGAAAAUAUUGAGUUCCUUGAAUAGUGUGUAGUUUACCUGUUGCAAACUGCUAAUGAAUUUGUGCGCAUUUGCCAGUUCUGCUGCCGCUAUAAUUUCAGCUUCUGUUGCAUCACCACCUUUUCCAUAUGCAAUAUUGGCUCGGAUGGUGUCAUUAAA